UUUCUAUUAAGCUACACUGGCUGUCAAUCUGAAGGCUCUCCAAACUUACACGGUCCCUUCCAAGAGGGAGGUUUGAAAAGAGAACAGAGAUUCUGGAAUAACAAAAGUAUGUGGGGAAGAUUGAGGUACCUGACAUAUUGGAAGUGUGUAAGGACAGGGAAGGCCUUUGAAAUUUUGGAACUUUUGAUCAUGAGGAUAUGUAAGAAUGUGUCAUACAUGUUAACAUCACAUAUAUGCAUGCACAUCCUACAUAGAAAAGGAAGAUAUCUCAUGGAAUGGGCAAAAAAAGGAAGGAAUUGUAAAAGAGAGAAUCUGCAAUGCAUGCAAAGGACAUCAUCUGUCAAUCAAAAGUAACAUUCCAUUGGAAUGUCCCUAGGAGAAGCAGUUGGAGCCAAGCCAGCAGCUGAACUGAGAGAUUUACUUCUGAGCUAGACUGACUUCUGACUGGACCUCUCUUAGCAUUUGACCUAAGUUGAGAGACCCUUGUGGCUUCUGGAGCUGGGGGAGAGGCUUUUGAACUAACUUUUGGCUAGUGUGGCUGAUGGUGGUGGCUGAACCUGAAGAACUAAUUUUAUAUCUGAUUUGAGUUUGAAGAAGAAAGAAGAAAAAUAUUUGUCCUCUUAUCUCUCUCUGACUAUCUCUGAUAGUGCCUGAUUGCCAUACUCCCAAUACUCUCCUAACUCCUUGUAUAGACUAGGGAAAACCCCAUCCCUCUUACCUCAUCCUCCAUCCUUGUCCUGUCUUCCCCAAUAAACCUCCUUACUUGAGAAAAGAGAAAAAAAGU
rnacentral:lncRNA from 1 species